CAACACAUCCACACAAGCUCCCAACUUGAGAGUGUCGAUGGGACACGUGUUCUUUGGUGGUGAUGGGGUUGGCACUGGUGUUGGUGGUGGUGGAGGAGGACAUGGUGUCUCAGUGGGUGGAGGAGGCUUAACUGGUACAACUGGGGUAGGUGUAGGUGUUGGUGGGCUUGGUGGUACAACAGGUGGUGAUGGUGGUGGCUUAACUGGUACAACUGGGGUAGGUGUUGGUGUUGGUGGGCUUGGUGGUACAACAGGUGGUGAUGGUGGUGGCUUAACUGGUACAACUGGGGGCUUGGGUACAUAGGGUGGUGGGGGUUGUACAACUGGGGGCUUGGGUACAUAUGGUGGUGGUGGUUGUACAACUGGGGGUUUGGGGAUGAAGGGUGGGUGCACAAUUGGGGGUUUAGGGAUAAAAGGUGGGUGCACGAUUGGGGGCUUGGGGAUGAAGGGUGGGUGCACAAUUGGGGGCUUGGGGAUGAAGGGUGGGUGCACAAUUGGGGGUUUAGGGAUGAAGGGUGGGUGCACAAUUGGGGGUUUAGGGAUGAAGGGUGGGUGCACAAUUGGGGGUUUAGGGAUGAAGGGUGGGUGCACAAUUGGGGGCUUGGGGAUGAAGGGUGGGUGCACAAUUGGGGGCUUGGGGUGGGGUGGUGGUUUGACAAUAGGAGGCUUGGGGAUGAAGGGAGGUCUCACAAUAGGUGGUUUGGGGACAGAAGGAGGUUUUGGUAUAUGGGGAGGAUAUACAAUGGGGGGUUUGGGGCCAUGAGGUGGCUUGGGUACAUGGGGUGGAUGAGGAUGAGGUGGCUUUGAUGGUGGCUUGGGAACAUAGGGAGGCUUUACAUGAGGGGGAUGGGGUGGUUUUGAUGGUGGUUUGGGAACAUAGGGAGGCUUUACAUGAGGAGGAAGAGGUGGUUUUGAUGGUGGUUUGGGAACAGAGGGAGGCUUUACAUGAGGGGGAUGAGGUGGGUGUUUAGGUGGUUUAGGGAUGAAGGGUGGCUUUACAUGAGGAGGCUGUUUGGGUGGCAAGUGUGGAGGGUAUGUUGGUGGUGGACAGUAGGAGUUAGCAAGAGAAGUGAGCAAACUACCCAAAUUCACAAUGAGGACUAAGAGCAAAGCCAGGGUAUAAUUCCCCAUGUUCAAAACUCCACAACCCUCAAAAGAGUUGGGUUGUUUAAGACCGGAUAUUGAAACCCAACACCAUGCAAAAGCCUUCUUAUAGAGAUAUGGUGAGACAAGUUGUGAGUGAGUAUGUACAUAAGAGAGAGAGAGAGAGAGAGAGAGAGAGAGAGAGAGAGAGAGAACACAAUCCUGUACCUUUCUUUGUGGUACCAACUAAAGAUAUAUAAAACUAUUAAUCUCUGUGCAUAAUUAAUUAAUUUGUCAAAUUGCCAAGAUGCACAUUGAAUUGAGGUCUCUCCAAACUCCAAACUUCAACUUGAUCAGUAUCAAAUUCACCACAAACAAAAGGGAGGAAUUGAGUCACUUUCUUCCUUUACAUUCAGAACCAAGUAGGGCACUGCAAUCACUGACUUAAACUGUAGACAAAAGUAUUCAGCUUUUAAGGAGAAAAGGAUCAAGAAAACGCGGUUUUGUGAUAGAGGCAAGUUUUAACAUGUAGUGAGAGCCUUGCAAGUGACUAUUCAACCCGUGAUUGAGGUUUUGAUGCCAAGCCACAUGUGAGGCUUUCAUUGACAACAUUUUCUUGCAUUAAAAAAUUCUAAGGGUACAAAAGAGGCCUUAGACUUUUUCUACUUAAAGCACAUGGUUUUUCCUUUUUUCAUUUUUUGGGGGUUUUCUCCCGAAUAGACGAGUCCAUUAAUGCUACAAUGUUUUAGUCUAAGAAAUAUUCCUAUAUGAAUAGACCGUACAAUUGUAUUUGAGUGUCGGUUAUCUUAAUUUAUUAUUUUUUAUAUAAACGAUAUUGUAUUUUAAUUUAAUCCAUACUAUAAAAAGAAUUAUUUAAAUUUAGAUACAAAAUAAAGAACACAUUUGUUCUAACUAACUUAAUUAAUCCUAUGUGUGCAAUUAUUUUUUACAAUUAAACAACUCGAUUUGAUGUAGGAAUUUUCCUUGUACAAUUUAACUUGCUCGCUUUGCAAUUUCAUUUCAAAAAAGUAUAUGCAUGGCCUAGCCAUCAUGUCUUUCAAAUCAACAGCUCAUCAUAGGGCAUCUUUUUAAAAUGAGGGUAAUGCUGGCUUCACAUGCAGCUGCACAAUAAUUUCAAGAAUUAUUAAUCGUACCUAGCAUUGUUAGCAAGACAUUUAGGGCUGUAAUUAUGUGAAAAGUGAUGUUCGCCGAAUCAAUUAUAUAAGGAGAACUUACUGCAAAACAACUCUGUGUGGAACCCAUCUACUUGUUCUUUGUUUUUUUUAGGUCUGAAGUCCAUCUACUUGUUCACUCCACGCCAUUGAAGUGUAGUCUAUCUAAAAUGGUAAGGGUGCCCUAGUUUAGGCGUAAGUACUAUGUGCAGGGUUUUGGGUUUUUCUUUGUAGACAAAAACCUAGAAGUAUCAUAUCUACAUUGUUCUGACUAUUAAAAAAUUAGACAAAGGGGUAAUGAUUAUGCCAAAAUGAAUUUCAACAUCACUUUCGACCGACAAAAUUUCAUUUGCUUAUAUCGAAGCUCGUAUUGAAAUUUAUUAAUUUUAACAAAGUUAGAAUAUGUCAUCUGUCACGUAAUUUGGUGAAUAAAUUUUAUCUUUCGGUGCCUCUACAAUAUUAAAGCAUCAAAUAGUGCAAAUCAUGACAUCUUAUUUCAACGUUCAUUAACAGACCUUCAUACAAUCAAGGCAUCGGAUGCAAGUAGGGUGGUAGAUUUUUUCCCCUUUUCAACCCAAUAAUAUGAGUUAAAACAAUUAUAUGUGGAACACAAUAACACCGCUUUAAUAAUUCUAUCUAAAAGGGUAUAUGCGACAGCUGGCCAAGAGGUAUAUUCCAUGUACACAAAAUGUUACUUUCAACUACAUGCCAAUAUUUCUACAGCGAAAAUUCCAAAUCAACAUGCAAAGGGAAAAUGAAAUGGGAUGUACUUGCUGUAGUGCCUGUUUGGAUAGAAAGAAAGGAAAAGAAAAGAAAAGAAAAUUCAUUUCUUGGAGAAACCAGAAAUUGAGUUUUUCGUCCUUAUUUUCGAAGUGUCGCAAUCAAGUUUUUUUGAUAUAUUGAUGAGUCAUCCAUUGUAGAAGAAAUGGCAUCCAUCAAAACCUGCCACCAUUAAAAUCCAUGCAAAUCCACUUGUUACAAUUAUAUGAAGUCACUUGUGCAAAGCGACAUAUGAAUUUAAAGGGCGAUAAAGCCGAUGUAAUAUAUGUAGGGUCAGGCUGAGACUACUUUGUCUCCAAAUCUUUAACCAAAUCUAAUUUAACACUAAUUAUUAUUGCUCACUACAUCAAGUAAGAAAGAUUAAUAGUAUUUUUCGGUGUGAAUGCAUAAACGUAUCUGUGGAUUCUUAUUAUUUCGAUGUGAGCUUACAGCUUAGCAUAUUAACCUCACUUCAUAUAAAAAUUAUCUCCAAUCCUGAGGUCUAACUUUAUAAAAAAAAAUGAAAAUGACUUUGUAGGUCCAAAUCAAAAUGCAACGUGCCGACAAACACGGACUUAGUCAAGUUGGUUAAAGUGAAUGUGCUAUUCUCACUUUGCAUUCGAUUUCAAAUUCCCCUCCUUAUGAUUUAGAUUAGAUCUAAGUAAAACAUUGCUUAUAUAUAAAAGCAAUAUGCAGCUGUAUGCAGAAGAUUUGGUUGAAUAAUUGCUCUAUAUAAAAUAAUAGGUAAAGUACCUUGAUUAUCUUUUUUCCAACAACCCUGUUCCCUAUAUCUGCCCAUUGUUUAUAUCAUAAUCAAUCAAUUAAUUGAUUAACAACACCAAAUUCUUGAUACCUUCAGCAAAGACACGAUAUUUUCUACCCAAUUUAGUUUGUCGUUUGAAGAAAAAGAAGAAGGAAAAAAAAAACAUUUAGUUUGUCAGAUCAUAUCUUAUAGCAUGAGUGUUAUAUUUAAAACUAUAUAAGAAGGGGCAAAAUUUGGACAUACUUGGAUCAACUGUAACAAUCAUGGCAGUCCCUCCAAAAUCACAAGUGCCACCGGCAGCCCUGGUGCUCUGCCAGUAGCUGUUGAAGGCGUACGAAGCGUGGGACAACAAUGUGUCUGGUUUAUAGCAGGACCCAUUGGGCUGGAUUGACUUGCAGUCUGCACCAGACCCACACGCAUAGUCCAGGGCCUCUUGGACUAUUGGGCCAGGCACGGCUGGCUUGGCCACACACCACACCGCGCCAGACUGUGGUGGCUUUUUUCGUGGAGGGCUUGUGGGCCCUGAUGGUGGAGGGUAAGCUACAGGUGGGGCCAAGGCUGGUGGGCCUGGGAUAGGCUUGGGUGGGGAUGGAGGAUUUUUGGGUGGGCCUGGAAUUGUGGUGGGUGGGCCAGGUGGGUGAGGGGUGGGCCCAUUUGCAGGUGGUGGUUUUGGGAUGGGUGAGCAAGUGGGUGCAGAAGAUGAAGGGGAGGAGGAAGAUGAAGGAGUAUUUGGUUGAGGUGGGUUUUGGGAAAAUGGUGGAUUUGCACAGUAUGGAGGAAGAGGAACAUUUCCAGGCAAGGGAAGUGGUGCCAGUGAAUCAAAGGGUGGGAAAGAGAAGGGAGGACUUACCUCUAGUGGCUUAACAUUUGAGGAAGGCAAUGGUAAAUCUAACUCUAAGUGAUUUAUUGCUUUCAGCUUCUUCUCUAAUUCUGUGUCUUGGGAUUUUAAGAAUUGUGCAAAAAUUCUUGCAUCUGCUCUAAAACAAAGUCACAUAAUAAGUUGUUAAAAUUGUUCAAGUAGUGUGUCUUUGGAAAACCCAAAUAAAUAAAUAAAUUCUUGCUUACCACAUAAAAUGGAGAAAGUUGUGAAUGAAAUGGAGAUGAUGGCCAAUCUCAUGUAAGACAUUGUGGGCUGCAUCUCUUGAAAAGCCAAUGUGAUUAAAGGCAAAAUACCCAGAAGAAGCUGACUGAAAAUUUUGUGCUUAUUUAAUUCAUCCCUCAAGCAAACACUUGGGAUAAGUAUAUAUAGGCAGAUGCUUAGGCAGGCCAGAGAUGUGUGGGAGUGGUAACAAAAGGCGGUGGCCAUAAAGGAAAAUUAUCAACAUAGAGAGACUAAAGGAGAUUCCUGUGUCACAACUUUGUAGCCUAAGACUCAAAAAUAGUGUAAGAUAUACAACAUGCAGAGGACAAAGGUGAGGGAGAGAGAGACUAGAGAGUGUUGGUUUUGGAGAGGUGUACAAGAAACUUUUCUCCCUUUUUGCAUCUUCCUUUGAAUAUAUUCUUGCUUGGCAGUGGAGAAAUAUGAACAGUGGAGUUUUCUGCACUUUUAUUUGCUUGCUUUCCACUCAAAGUGAAACAAACUUCCACUCUGUUAAAGUAUAAGAGAUUUAGCUGAGUUUGUUACUUAAAUUAUGAGCCUUUGGAUCACAGUCCAAAUGGACAGCUAGGAUGUAUUCUUAGGUGUAGUUGAUUUGUGCCAAGUGUAGCUAUCUCAUAGGGUAGUUAAUGAUUGGUUAGAUUUGCUGAUGUAAGAGAGAAUAUUCUUUUCUUUUACUGUUAUAUUGGUAUGCACAGAUUGUGCAUGACUAAGUGUGAGAAUACAAUCUGAUAUUUUCAUCUUCUUCUUCUCCACGUUUUCUCUCUACAUUUUACUAGAGCUCCAUUCACCUAUAAUCCAAAAACAUGGCAGAUCAUAGUCUGCAAAUGCUAACAUGGUAUCACUGAGCCAGGUUUGAUCGUUUAGCUGGGCGUUUGAAUCUGUGAAGGAAGUGAGCUGCGUUUUCUAUCAAAUCUUGCUCUCUGUGAAAUCUGUGUCUAACAUGGCAGGAUCUGGAGGUGGUGAGCUGCGUGCUCCAAUCUUCAAUGGUGAGAACUAUGAAUUCUGGAGCAUAAGGAUGAAAACCAUUUUCAAAUCUCAUGGGAUUUGGGAGCUGGUUGAGAGAGGAAUAGAAGGCUCAGAUUCGAAGGGAGCUGAUGAAUCUGAUACAAAACAAAAGGAAAAAGAGGAAUCAAGUGGUUCUGGGAAGAUGGCUAUAGCUGAGAUCCUGAUGAAGGAUGCUAAGGCCUUGGGGUUGAUUCAAGGAGCAGUAUCUGAGGUGAUCUUCCCCAGGAUUUCUCAUGAAGAAUCAUCUCAUGGAGCCUGGAACAUCCUGAAGCAGGAAUUUCAUGGUGAUAAGCAGGUAAGAAGUGUAAAACUGCAGGGACUUCGUAGAGAAUUUGAAUACACUAGAAUGAGAGAGGAUGAAUCUCUAUCUGCUUAUCUUACAAAGUUGUUUGAUCUAAUAAACCAAAUGAGAGGUUAUGGGGAAGAACUAUCUAGAGAAAGAAUUGUGCAGAAAAUGUUAAUUAGUCUGCUGCCUGGAUAUGAUCCAAUCUGUUCUGUGAUUGAACAUUCAAGGGAUCUAGAUGUAAUUGAGGUUCAAGAGGUGGUAGCCUCAUUGAAGAGCUUUGCUCAAAGGUUGGAAAGACAUCAUGAGAACAAAACUGAGAAGGCCUUUGCUAGUCUGAGUACAGAUACCAAAUCUGCUAAGGCCACUGGAAAUCAGAAUUCCAAGCAGCAGAAGACUUGGAAAGACAAAGGGAAGAAGUGGGAUAAUAAACCUACGGAUGGAACUAAAACUCCUUGCAAACAUUGUGGGAAAUUGCAUUAUGGAGAAUGUAGGUUCAAGGGCAAACCAAAGUGCUAUAACUGUGACAAGCUUGGUCACAUUGCCAAAGACUGCUAUAGCAAGAAACCUGAACAGCAGCAGCAGCUUCAGUUUGCUACUCAGGUUACUUCUUCACCAACCAUGUUCUAUGCUAACAAUGCAACUGAGAAAAGGUCCAUGGAAGAGGUAUGGUACUUGGACAGUGGGUGUAGUAACCACAUGACUGGCAGAGAAGAUGUUUUGAUUGAUAUUGAUAGGAAUGUGACUGCAAAAGUUGCUAUGGGAACAGGACAGUUGGUUGAUGUUAUUGGAAAAGGAAGCCUGAUGGUUCAAACUAAAAUGGGAAGGAAAUAUAUCAAGGAGGUGCUAUUGGUAUCUGGUCUCAAAGAGAACCUACUCAGCGUUGGACAAAUGAUGGAGCAUGGAUAUUUCCUAAUUUUUGGAGAUAAUAAGGCAGAAGUCUAUGAUGAUAGCUCUCUUUCAAAUCUAGUGGCUAGAGUGGAUAUGAAAGGAAAUAGAAGUUUUCCUUUGAAACUUCAAACAGAUUUACAUAUUGCUCUAACUGCAAGCAUUAACCAAUCAACCUUGCUUUGGCAUAGGAGAAUGGGGCACUUAAACUUGCAGAGUUUGAAACUGCUGCAGAAUGAAGACAUGGUGUUUGGUCUGCCAGAAAUCAAAAAUACAAAUGCAGUGUGUGAAGGCUGUACUUUUGGAAAACACUGCAGGAAGGCAUUUCCAAAAGAAGCAACCAGCAGAGCUACAUCUCCACUGGAAUUGGUACACACUGAUGUGUGUGGACCAAUGCAAACUGUUACCAAAGCAGAAAACAGGUAUUUCCUCACCUUUAUAGAUGACUGUACAAGAAUGUGCUGGAUCUAUUUCUUGAGAUGCAAAUCUGAGGUAUUCACAGUGUUUAAGAGGUUUAGAGCCACUGUUGAAUUGCAAAGUGGAUAUAAGGUGAAGAAACUAAGAAGUGAUAGGGGAGGAGAGUACACCUCUAAUGAGUUCAAUAAAUUCUGUGAUGAAAUGGGAAUGGAGAGGCAGCUUACAGUGGCAUACUCACCACAGCAGAAUGGUGUGGCUGAGAGGAAAAACAGAACCAUAGUGGAGAUGGCCAAGUGUAUGAUGAUUGAGAAGGGCAUGCCACUUGAGUUUUGGGCAGAAACUGUUAAUACUGCAGUGUAUAUUCUAAACCGAAGUCCAACUAAAGCUCUGGACAAGAAAACACCAUUUGAAGCCUAUAGUGGGAGAAAGCCAGGACUUAAACACUUAAGAGUGUUUGGAUCUUUGUGCUAUGCACAUGUUCCAAAUCCACAGAGGCAGAAACUGGAUUCAGCAAGCAACAGAUGUGUGUUUCUAGGAUAUGGCAGCUGUGAGAAAGGGUAUAGACUGUAUAACAUUGCCACUGAAAAGGUGAUUAUCUCAAGGGAUGUGGUAUUUAAUGAAGAAGCUAGCUGGGAUUGGAAUGCAAAGCAAGAAUGCAGUGUUUCAGUGCCAUUUACUGAAGUUGUGUCUGAAAAGGAGAAAGGGAGCAAUGACACAGCUGUGAAGCAAGCAGAACAUUCAGUUGAGAAUGAAUUGCUAACAGAAGACAAUGAAGAAAGAUCUGUGGUUGAUACAGGUACUCAAGAUAUUGACCACACUCCAUUGAGAUACAAAAGUCUUACAGAGAUCUAUGAAAGCUGCAACAUCUGCAUCAUUGAACCAGAAUCCUUUGAAGAAGCUGUCAAGGAUGCAGCAUGGCAAAAGGCAAUGGAAGCAGAACUUGAGAUGAUAGAAAAGAAUGAAACUUGGGAUUUGGUAAAAAGACCAUCUGAUAAACCUAUAGUUGGUGUCAAAUGGAUCUUUAAAGUCAAGCUAAAUCUGGAUGGUUCUGUUCAGAAAAACAAAGCAAGGCUAGUAGCUAAAGGCUACACUCAAAAGCCAGGAAUUGAUUUCAAUGAGACAUUUGCACCUGUUGCUCGGCUUGACACAGUUAGAACACUGAUUGCUCUGGCUGCUCAGAAAAGGUGGAAACUGUUUCAGCUUGAUGUAAAGUCAGCCUUCUUAAAUGGAGUGCUACAAGAGGAGGUGUAUGUGGAUCAACCUCCAGGAUUUGUGGUUCAAGGCAAGGAAGACAGAGUUUAUAGACUCAAGAAGGCUCUUUAUGGUCUCAAACAAGCUCCAAGAGCUUGGUAUGAAGAAAUUAAUUCAUACUUUGCUGCUGCAGGAUUUCAGAAAAGUCCUAGUGAGGCUACAUUAUAUGUGAAAGCUGCAGAAAGUGGAAUCCUAAUUGUUUCACUAUAUGUAGAUGAUAUCAUCUACACAGGAAGCUCUAAAGAAUUGGUGAUGAGUUUUAAAACUGAAAUGAUGAAGAGAUAUGAAAUGACAGAUCUGGGAUUGUUGCACCAUUUUCUGGGAUUGGGUGUGAUACAAGCUGAGUCCUACAUCUUCUUGCAUCAGAAGAAAUAUGCAAGAACACUGUUGGACAAGUUUGGUUUAAAGGACUGUAAAGCAGUGUCAACUCCACUUGCUAUGAAUGAGAAGUUAUCCAAGGAGGAUGGAAGUGAACAGGCUGAUGAAAAGCUGUACAGACAGAUUGUUGGAAGCUUACUAUAUCUGACUGCAACAAGGCCAGAUAUCAUGUUUGCUGCAAGUCUCUUAGCAAGAUACAUGCAUGGACCUACUAAGAAACAUAUGGGAACUGCUAAGAGAGUACUUAGAUACAUUCAAGGUACUCUAGACUAUGGCAUUGCAUAUGAGAAAGGAAAAGAGGCAAUGCUGGUUGGAUAUUGUGACAGUGAUUGGUCAGGCUGUGAAGAUGAUAUGAGGAGCACAUCUGGCUAUGCCUUUCACCUUGGAUCAGGUGUUUUCUCUUGGGCAUCUGUUAAGCAGAGCAGUGUAGCUCUAUCCACUGCAGAGGCAGAAUAUGUUAGUGCAGCUGAAGCUACAGCUCAAGCAGUCUGGUUAAGGUUUGUUCUAUCUGAUUUUGGUGAAGAACAAGUUGAGGCUACAACAAUCCUAUGUGACAACACUUCUGCAAUAGCAAUAACAAAGAAUCCUGUGCAUCAUCACAGGACAAGACACAUAAGCAGAAGGUUUCAUUUCAUCCGAGAUGCUUUGCAAAAUGGUGAGAUUGAUCUGCUAUACUGCAAAACUGAUGAGCAGAAUGCAGACAUCUUCACUAAGGCUUUGGCAAGGAAUAGGUUUGAAUAUCUAAGGAGCAAGCUUGGAAUUAUUUCAGCUAAACACUUAGAAGGGAGUGUUAAAGUAUAAGAGAUUUAGCUGAGUUUGUUACUUAAAUUAUGAGCCUUUGGAUCACAGUCCAAAUGGACAGCUAGGAUGUAUUCUUAGGUGUAGUUGAUUUGUGCCAAGUGUAGCUAUCUCAUAGGGUAGUUAAUGAUUGGUUAGAUUUGCUGAUGUAAGAGAGAAUAUUCUUUUCUUUUACUGUUAUAUUGGUAUGCACAGAUUGUGCAUGACUAAGUGUGAGAAUACAAUCUGAUAUUUUCAUCUUCUUCUUCUCCACGUUUUCUCUCUACAUUUUACUAGAGCUCCAUUCACCUAUAAUCCAAAAACAUGGCAGAUCAUAGUCUGCAAAUGCUAACACACUCUCUCUCUCUCUCUCUCUCUCUCUCUCUCUCUCUCUCUCUAUAUCAGGCUCUACAUUUCUCAGGAAGCUAUUAACUUGUUAUUAAAUGGUUCCUUGGGAUUAAUAUUCCAAAAUAGUUUGACAUCCUUUCCAGCCUUAGCAAUCAUAUUUCACACACUAAUGCAUGUUUUUCAGCUUGAUGUGGUAUUAGUUGACUUCAAUAUUACAGAACUCUUGGUUCAUGCUCAUCACUGAACCUGAAACCUAGGAGUUUUUGUUUGGGAAUGUAACCAGGAAGAUCAAAAUAUACCAAACUUGGGAACGAGAGAGGUGCAUAAAACUUUUGCUCAUCAUCAAAGCUAAAUGUGUCAUCGUAGUUUGAGCAUAUUUCUUACUCUCUAUAUAUUUCAUUGCAGACACACAAGACUUUCAGUUUUAACUAAGAACAACUAAAAAGCCCACAUGAACUCCUUUGCUAGAAUUUGCUGAAAAAGAAAUUGUAAUCUUCAUUAAGCAGGCUUACAUAGGUAAAUAAAUUGUGUAGCUCUUAUUCUUGUUAUUAACUGUUAAAUUAAAAUCUCCAUGUCAUCCUGUUUUUUUUUUUUUAACUGUUUGGCAACACCACUUUGCCAUCCAUAAACUAUAACUAUUCUUCUCCCUAAGGGAAUUUUAUUAGGAAAUUACCCAUCUGGUAUGUAAAUCAUGUUUCAGAGUUCACAUUUAAACACAACCUUUAAACUUGGACAAUAAAUUAUAGGACCGUUGCCAACAACCCGACGCCAUCUAUAACAAGUGUGGCUUGAACUGUUCUUGAAUUUAGAAAGCAAAUUUAAGAAGCUCCAUUACUUAGCAUGUAAGUUUUGUUUCCGAGUUCAAUUGGAAAAAAUUAUGCUAUCGUUGGCAACUGUCCCUUGCCAUCUAUAACAAUCCAGGCUUGAACUUUUGUUGAAUUUAGGAAGCAAUUUAAUUAGCUUCACUACUCAAAAUGCAAAGGAUGUUUUUAAAUUUCAAAUUCAAACAUUAGGAAGCAAUUGAAUAAAUUAUGUGGCUGUUGCAACGGUCCCCUGCCAUAUUCGAUAUCUACCAUGUUUAUCAUUUAUGACCUGAAAAGGCAUAACAGGGCAACUAAGCUGACUCUAGUAUAAAUCUGCUCAAUUGUUCAAGUUAUCCAUCAUAUUGUGUUUGCUAAACCACAGCCUUAUUCAGGACAAUAAGAAAUAUGGCUGCAGACCCUUCCCCAAGGAUGCUAAUCACUCAUAAGGGACCCUGUGUCCGCUACAUUGCUUGGACUCCACUCUUGAAUGGUUUCUGGAAGCUCAGCUUCACAGGUCAUUACAAGCACGAAUCGAAGACUACUUCAGUCGGCUGCAUUUCUGAGAGAUCACAAUGCUGUAUUUAAAGCUGCCUUUGCGCAACAUGUAGAAAUGGUCAGCAGCUUUACAAGGGCUCAGUCGACUGCAGUCAGCUGGGCCCUUGAAUUAGCUAAAGGUGAAGGUGUCGAUUACCUUGAAAUCGAAGGAAAUCAUCCGUUUGUGUUUCGGAUGAUGUGGGGCGACAUCACCAGAACUAGCUCUAUGAUCAGGGGCUUGUUAAUAAAUGCAGAUGUGAUUUAAGACAGAUUAGGAGUGUGAGGCUCCGACAUGUCAACAUGUAUGGUAAUUUGGCUGCGAACUUGCUUGCGAGAAUUUCUUUGCAGCCUCAACAAGAGAGGUCAUGGUUUGGUGACCCUCCGGAAGAAAUAAAUGGAAUUCUAGUGAGGGAUGUGAUCGGUCGUUGGAUCGCUUUCUCGGACCUAUGAGUGAGUCAUCAUUUGGAUGACACAGAAGGACUUCGUGGAUUUCUUUCUUCAAGGAAAAAUCUGUUAAGUUGCUUUUCUUUUUGGUUAAGUAGCAGUUUGCACAUCUUUUAUUUUCAGAAAUGAAAUAUUUUGGAUUAGUGAUGAUUGUGAAGCCCUUGAUUUUUCUAAUCUCUUCCUUAAAGAAUUAAGAUGUGUGAACAUGUAACUACUAAGAACAAAAGUCAUCUGCUUAAUCUCACAUUUCAUUUUCAUUUUCUUCCUUUGUAGUUUAAUUGUAUUCCCUGACCUUUCCGGUACUGACCAUGACCCCUAUCUAUCAAAACCAAGUUCAAAUAAGGGAGAAUUUUUAAGGAGAUAUAUUGAUGACCUUGGGUGGAAUUUUUUCUUAGUAAAACUUUUAUGUGGUUUUACUCAAUAAACAAGUUACUCGUUUUACUCGACUUGAAUUUUUGCCUAUUUUGUCUAGAAUCAAUUACGUUUGAUGAUGAAACCAAUUACCAAAUAGUUCUUAAUCUAGUGAUACUUCUCUUCUCAACAAGUUACAAGGAUUCCGAACUCAAUUUAAUCACCUGUAGAAAUUACUUUGUCGCUGACAUGCCCGUGUGCCUUCAAAUGUUGAGGUCCAUUAGAAAGUGACCGUGCCUUUUAUCAAUAACAAACCCACAUGCCCAACUUGACCAACAAAUAAUAUUUUAAUAAAGUAACCGGUGCCUUUUAAGAAUGUAUUGUGGGAUGAAUUAAUGAUCUACCACAAUUAAAUGCAUUUUCAAAUAGCGAAAUAUUACAACAUCGCAGAGAGGUAUUGCAUGAUCUACCACUCUAGUUAUUCUGUUGCUGCAGUGCAGUGCAAUGCAGGUGUACAACUUAUUGUUCAACAGAAAACACAAAAUAACUUAACUUGAACUAAGUCCAUAAUAUAAAAAAGAUGAAGAGGCCAUGGACUGGAAACUCUGGAUCCAGAUGAUGUAGGGAUCAAGGGGUGUAUGGCCUUGGAAUAAGAUACAGAGGAGCUUUCUUAUGGACUGUGAGUCCGAACACUUCGGUCAUGUUCAAUGUGUCAGCCAAUUUAGUACCACCACUAGGCAACUUCCAAUCGAACCAAAACAGUAGGUUGGCAAGCACAUAUUCAGCUGAAGCAACCGCAAAGGCCAGUCCGGGGCACACCCUUCUUCCACCACCAAACGGGAGGAGUUCGAACUCUUGACCUACCAAACCGAUGGAGUUCUGCUCAAACCUCUCUGGCAUAAACUCUUCUGGCUUGUCCCAGACUCUGCGGUCUGUUUGUAUUGCGAAUGCAUUCACAAACACUUGUGUUUUCGCAGGGAUGUCGUAACCUCCCAAUUUUACAUCUGCAGUUGUUUCACGAGGAAGUAAAAGAGGACCUGGAGGAUGAAGCCUUAGAUUUUCGGUGAUUACACAUGACAAGUACUUCAUUUCCUUGAUGUCACUCUCGUCUACAUAUCCCCUUUUCCCCGCCACUCUUCUUACUUCUUCUUGGACUUUCUUCAUCACCCGUGGAUUUUGCGAAAGCUCAGACAUUAACCAUAGCAUUGAUGUCCAACUAGUAUCACUUCCCCCAACAAACAUGUCCUAAAUCAUGAAAUUAAAUAGCCAAAUCAAUCUUCAUCCAUAUAUAUUUUUAUUAGAAAAUUAGACGUAAAACCAAAAGUAUUAGGGUUUAUCAAUGUGCGCGUGUGUGUGGGUAUGCUCGUGCCUGUUCAAGAUAAAGUAAGUGAAUGAGUAUAAUGCGAGUAUGUAAGCUAGAGAGGGGGGGAUAUAGACCUGCAUAAGUCCUUUGACAUUGAACUCAAAAUCGAGCGAGCCAUCCUCUUCAAGGUCGAGGAGUAAAUCCACAAUAUCCUUCUUACGAGGCUUACCAUCUUUCUGCGCUGCUUUAUGUUCGUCAAGCAACUUAUCAUAAAAUCCAUCCAAUUCACGUCGAAUUGAUUUCAAACGUGCAAUGUAGCCUCUGGCAUGGUCAACCCAUUUCAAAGAAGGGUAGAAAUCUCCAAAGCUGAAAGUCAUCAUCUGAACCAUCAACUCCUUUAUGACCUUUUCAAACCAAUUGUCUUCUUUGUCCUCAAACUUCUGUCCAAGAACGCACCUACAGAUGAUGUUGUUGGAGGUUGACACCAGCAGCGGCCCCAGAUUGAUGGGAGCCCCGUUUGUGCUGGCGGAGGCUUUGCGAAUCUUGCUGACCAGCUCUGCACAUUCUUCCACCCUUGCGUACUGAAACUGCUGCACUCUUUUCACGCUCAGAAGCUCAAGAACAACCACUUUUCGAGCUUUUCUCCAGUACUCCCCGUAAGGAGCAAACGCAACGUUAUAGCCGUUGAAGAACAAUAUAGUUGCAGCUGUAGUUUGAGGCCGGCCAGAGAAACCAAUGUCUUGGUUCUUCAUCAUGUCCUUGGCCAGUUCUGCAGAUGAAACUACCAGCGUUGGAAGUUUGCCAAAGUGCAUGAGCAUUAUAUCACCAUACUUCUUCGACAGAUCACGAAGAGAGCGGUGUGGGAAUUUGCCUAGCUGGUGAAGGUUCCCAAUCAGAGGCAGUGUUGGUGGGGAAGGUGGCAGUUCGUAGUUUUUCCCACUUGAAGAUGAUCUUGUAAGUGAUAACAAAAUGUAUGCAGAAAGCAGGAGAAGA
rnacentral:lncRNA from 1 species